GCUUACCAUGCAAGUCGAGCGAGAUUUCAAGAAUUAGUUUACUAAUUCUUGAAUGACAGCGGCGGACGGGUGAGUAACGCGUGGGCAACCUGCCCUGUGGAAAGGGAUAGCCUCGGGAAACCGGGAUUAAUACCUUAUAAUAUUUACUUUUCGCAUGAAAAGUAAAUCAAAGAUUUAUCGCCACAGGAUGGGCCCGCGUCCCAUUAGCUAGUUGGUGAGAUAACAGCUCACCAAGGCGACGAUGGGUAGCCGACCUGAGAGGGUGAUCGGCCACAUUGGGACUGAGACACGGCCCAAACUCCUACGGGAGGCAGCAGUGGGGAAUAUUGCGCAAUGGGGGAAACCCUGACGCAGCAACGCCGCGUGAGUGAAGAAGGUUUUCGGAUCGUAAAACUCUGUCUUUGGGGAAGAAUACAUGACGGUACCCAAGGAGGAAGCCCCGGCUAACUACGUGCCAGCAGCCGCGGUAAUACGUAGGGGGCAAGCGUUGUCCGGAAUUAUUGGGCGUAAAGGGCGUGUAGGCGGUAUCGUAAGUCAGGUGUGAAAGUUUGAGGCUCAACCUCAAAAUUGCACUUGAAACUGCAAUACUUGAGUACUGGAGAGGUAAGUGGAAUUCCUAGUGUAGCGGUGAAAUGCGUAGAUAUUAGGAGGAACACCAGUGGCGAAGGCGACUUACUGGACAGUUACUGACGCUGAGGCGCGAAAGCGUGGGGAGCAAACAGGAUUAGAUACCCUGGU
rnacentral:rRNA from 1 species